AGUCCUAUUAACUUGCCCCUAUAUACGUGUCCUUGUCCUUCCAGGUUGGGGAAGCUCUUGAUAUAGCACCAUGCGUGCGUGUCGAAUGGAUGUGUGCACAAAGGGAUGGAUGAAGAGAAACGGGAAGAACGGCAUUCCUGUGCUCACACUCGGCGAGGACAAGUUCCUCCAAAGGGAAUAGACCCCUGGUGGGAAACGAAGACAAGAAGAGACCACGUCCGGUUCUGGUUUCUGCUGGAACUGCACCAGCCAGAGGGCAAACGUCCCUGGGAUCAACGUCUUUGGGAAAUGGAGGAGAGCAGGGAAAGCGCCUUGUACGGCUCGUCGUGCUCGGAGAACAGACGCCCAGGGGACAACUGAUUCGCCAUGUGGGUUUGUGUUCCCAAGGGUGAUGAGGACGAUUGUCAUAAUGGCA
rnacentral:lncRNA from 1 species